UGGGGAAUAUUGCACAAUGGGGGAAACCCUGAUGCAGCGACGCCGCGUGAGCGAUGAAGGCUUUCGAGUCGUAAAGCUCUGUCCUAUGGGAAGAUAAUGACGGUACCAUAGAAGAAAGCCCCGGCUAAUUACGUGCCAGCAGCCGCGGUAAUACGUAAGGGGCGAGCGUUGUCCGGAAUUAUUGGGCGUAAAGCGCGCGCAGGUGGUUUAGAAAGUCUGAUGUGAAAGCCCACGGCUCAACCGUGGAGGGUCAUUGGAAACUAAUAAACUUGAGUGCAGGAGAGGAAAGUGGAAUUCCUAGUGUAGCGGUGAAAUGCGUAGAGAUUAGGAGGAACACCGGUGGCGAAAGCGGCUUUUUGGCCUGCAACUGACACUGAGGCGCGAAAGCGUGGGGAGCAAACAGG
rnacentral:rRNA from 1 species